CCUACGGGGGGCAGCAGUGGGGAAUAUUGGACAAUGGGGGGAACCCUGAUCCAGCCAUGCCGCGUGUGUGAAGAAGGCCCUCGGGUUGUAAAGCACUUUCAGUGAGGAAGAACGCCUGGUGGUUAAUACCCAUCAGGAAAGACAUCACUCACAGAAGAAGCACCGGCUAACUCCGUGCCAGCAGCCGCGGUAAUACGGAGGGUGCGAGCGUUAAUCGGAAUUACUGGGCGUAAAGCGCGCGUAGGUGGCUUGAUAAGCCGGUUGUGAAAGCCCCGGGCUCAACCUGGGAACGGCACCCGGAACUGUCAAGCUAGAGUGCAGGAGAGGAAGGUAGAAUUCCCGGUGUAGCGGUGAAAUGCGUAGAGAUCGGGAGGAAUACCAGUGGCGAAGGCGGCCUUCUGGACUGACACUGACACUGAGGUGCGAAAGCGUGGGUAGCAAACAGGAUUAGAUACCCGUGUAGUC
rnacentral:rRNA from 1 species